rnacentral:rRNA from 1 species
GAUCAUGGCUCAGAUUGAACGCUGGCGGCAUGCUUUACACAUGCAAGUCGGACGGCAGCACAGAGAAGCUUGCUUCUUGGGUGGCGAGUGGCGAACGGGUGAGUAACAUAUCAGAACGUACCGAGUAAUGGGGGAUAACUAAUCGAAAGAUUAGCUAAUACCGCAUAUUCUCUGAGGAGGGAAAGGACAGGGGACCGUCGGGCCGUUCGCGUAUUCGUAGCGGCCGGACUAU